GAUGAAGAACGUAGCGAAAUGCGAUAAGUAAUGUGAAUUGCAGAAUUCAGUGAAUCAUCGAAUCUUUGAACGCACAUUGCGCCCGCCAGUAUUCUGGCGGGCAUGCCUGUUCGAGCGUCAUUUCAACCAUCAAGCCCCAGGCUUGUGUUGGGGACCUGCGGCUGCCGCAGGCCCUGAAAACCAGUGGCGGGCUCGCUGUCACACCGGGCGUAGUAGAUUUUAUCUCGCUCUGGGCGUGCUGCGGGUUCCGGCCGUUAAAAAACCCUUUUAACCCAAGGUUGACCUCAAAUCAGGUAGGACUACCCGCUGAACUUAAGCAUAUCAAUAAGCGGAGGA
rnacentral:misc_RNA from 1 species